UACGGAGGAUGCAAGCGUUAUCCGGAUUCAUUGGGUUUAAAGGGUGCGUAGGCGGGUUUAUAAGUCAGUGGUGAAAUUCUGCAGCUUAACUGUAGGACUGCCAUUGAUACUGUAGAUCUUGAGUUCGGUUGAAGUAGGCGGAAUGUGUAGUGUAGCGGUGAAAUGCUUAGAUAUUACACAGAACACCGAUUGCGUAGGCAGCUUACUAAACCGUUACUGACGCUGAUGCACGAAAGCAUGGGGAU
rnacentral:rRNA from 1 species